rnacentral:rRNA from 1 species
AGAGUUUGAUCAUGGCUCAGAUUGAACGCUGGCGGUAUGCUUAACACAUGCAAGUCGAACGCGAAAGCACCUUCGGGUGUAAGUAGAGUGGCGGACGGGUGAGUAAGGCAUGGGAAUCUGCCCUAUAGCGGGGGAUAACUUGGGGAAACCCAAGCUAAUACCGCAUACACCUACGGGUAAAAGAUGGCCUCUUCUUGAAAGCUAUUACUAUAGGAUGAGCCCAUGUAAGAUUAGCUAGUUGGUAGGGUAAAAGCCUACCAAGGCUACGAUCUUUAGCUGGUCUGAGAGGACGAUCAGCCACACUGGGACUGAGACACGGCCCAGACUCCUACGGGAGGCAGCAGUGGGGAAUAUUGGACAAUGGGGGCAACCCUGAUCCAGCAAUACCGCGUGUGUGAAGAAGGCCUGCGGGUUGUAAAGCACUUUUAUCUGUGAGGAAGGGUUUAAUGUUAAUACCAUUAGACAU